rnacentral:rRNA from 1 species
GACGGAGGGGGCUAGCGUUGUUCGGAAUGACUGGGCGUAAAGGGCGCGUAGGCGGCUCUUUAAGUGAGGCGUGAAAGCCCUGGGCUUAACCCAGGAGGUGCGUUUCAUACUGAAGAGCUUGAGUACGAGAGAGGAAAGUGGAAUUCCUAGUGUAGAGGUGAAAUUCGUAGAUAUGCGGAGGAACACCGAUGGCGAAGGCAAUCCCCUGGGCCUGUACUGACGCUCAUGCACGAAAGCGUGGGGAGCAAACAGG